rnacentral:tRNA from 1 species
UAGGAGGUUGCAUAAUGAAGUGCGUGAGAUUUUGAGUUUUUAGGUGCGGGUUCGAGUCCCGUUCUUCUA